UGGCACAAAUGGUUAGUGCGCUCGGCUGCUAACUGAAAGGUUGGAGGUUCAAGUCCACC
rnacentral:tRNA from 1 species